CAGGUGGCAACUGUAAUUAUGCACCACAAAUGUGACUGAAUGUACAGAAAAAGAAGCAAGAUGUUCUGAAAACAAAUUCAUUCAAAAAGUGAACAAGAAUCCAGUUAAAUCCUUUGAAAUCAACAGGACCUGGAUAAGUGUAGAGUUGGCAGCUGUGAUGGACAAGGGCGACUGUUCCCCACUGCAGAUUCGAAGAGGCAAAAACAUAAUUUAUCAUUGGAGCAAGUUUUCCUUCUUAAAAUAAAUUCCAGACAGUACCAUC